rnacentral:SRP_RNA from 1 species
CUAUGCUGAUCGGGUGUCCGCACUCUGUUCCGUAUCGAUAUGGUCUUCCUGGGGGAGCUCGGGACAACCAGGUCGUCUAAGGAGGGGUGAAUCGACCCAGGUCGGAAACGGAGCAGGUCAAAGCCCGCGUGCUGUUCAGUCGUGGGAUCACACCUGAGAGUAG